UACGUAGGUGGCAAGCGUUGUUCGGAUUUACUGGGCGUAAAGGGCGCGUAGGCGGUCAGCACAAGUCAGUUGUGAAAUCUCCGGGCUUAACCCGGAAAGGUCAACUGAUACUGUGCGACUAGAGUGCGGAAGGGGCAACUGGAAUUCUCGGUGUAGCGGUGAAAUGCGUAGAUAUCGAGAGGAACACCUGCGGCGAAGGCGGGUUGCUGGGCCGACACUGACGCUGAUGCGCGAAAGCCAGGGGAGCAAACGGG
rnacentral:rRNA from 1 species